CCAGCACCCGAGCUGAGGAAGGUGAGAACCUUCGACCAAGGUUCACGUCGAGCAACGCGAGACAACGUUGCCGCAGGCAACGGCCCGCAGAACGAGGCGCAGUGCGCCGAGUCAUCCUUCCCCCCACCACCA
rnacentral:sRNA from 1 species